rnacentral:misc_RNA from 1 species
GAAAUGCGAUACGCAAUGCGAAUUGCAGAAUUCCGCGAAUCAUCAGAUUCUUGAACGCAACUGGCGCUGGAGGGAUAUCCUUCCAGCAUGUCUGUUUCAGUGUCUGAAAACUUCCUAAACAUUCUAAUGUGUUUGACAAGGAGUAGUCUUUUAUAGACUAUACAUUUUCCGAGUCUUACAUGAAAGAUGUAUGUGUGGGUCUUUGGAUCCAUCGAAUUGGUCAUCGAUUCUUCGGUGAUUUCGAUUGGAUGUUACCAAUUACUUGUAUACACAUAGAAAUUUAUAUACAUACUUUAUCAUCUGCAUCUGAAAUCAGGCAAGAAAACCCGCUGAACUUAA